rnacentral:tRNA from 1 species
ACUUAUAUAUUUUAAAAAGUAAUGUUGCGUUGAAGUUGCAGAGGUGGUGAUUUACCUAUAGGUA